rnacentral:ncRNA from 2 species
AUUCAUCUUCGGGGCAGGGUGAAAUUCCCGACCGGCGGUGAUAGGACGCAAGGUCCUUAAGCCCGCGAGCCUUUAUGGCAGGAUUUGGUGAGAUUCCAAAGCCGACAGUUACAGUCUGGAUGGGAGAAGAUGAAG